rnacentral:rRNA from 1 species
AUUAAACGCUGGCGGCAUGCCUUACACAUGCAAGUCGAACGGCAGCACGGGGGCAACCCUGGUGGCGAGUGGCGAACGGGUGAGUAAAGCAUCGGAACGUGCCCUGGAGUGGGGGAUAACGUAGCGAAAGUUACGCUAAUACCGCAUAUUCUGUGAGCAGGAAAGCAGGGGAUCGCAAGACCUUGCGCUCUGGGAGCGGCCGAUGUCGGAUUAGCUAGUUGGUGGGGUAAAGGCCUACCAAGGCGACGAUCCGUAGCGGGUCUGAGAGGAUGAUCCGCCACACUGGGACUGAGACACGGCCCAGACUCCUACGGGAGGCAGCAGUGGGGAAUUUUGGACAAUGGGCGAAAGCCUGAUCCAGCCAUGCCGCGUGAGUGAAGAAGGCCUCGGGUU